rnacentral:rRNA from 1 species
CCUACGGGUGGCAGCAGUGAGGAAUAUUGGUCAAUGGACGAGAGUCUGAACCAGCCACGUAGCGUGAAGGAUGACUGCCCUAUGGGUGGAAAACUUCUUUUAUAAAGGAAUAAAACGAGGCACGUGUGCCUUUUUGCAUGGACUUUAUGAAUAAGGAUCGGCUAACUCCGUGCCGGCAGCCGCGGUAAUACGGAGGAUCCGAGCGUUAUCCGGAUUUAGUGGGUUUAAAGGGAGCGUAGAUGGGUUGUUAAGUCAGUUGUGAAAGUUUGCGGCUCAACCGUAAAAUUGCAAUUGAUACUGGCCGUCUUGAGUACAGUUGAGGUAGGCGGAAUUCGUGGUGUAGCGGUGAAAUGCUUAGAUAUCACGAAGAACCCCGAUUGCGAAGGCAGCUUACUAAACUGUGACUGACAUUGAUGCUCGAAAGUGUGGGUAUCAAACAGGAUUAGAUACCCCUGUAGUC